CUAUCCGUGUGGAAAAAUGUUAAAAAGGCUGUUGAAGAUUUGAAGUCAAGUCUUUUCUUAAUGUGAGAAUAAAAUGGGGAAGUUCUAGAACCUUGAGAAUAAUUCAGCACUGCAGUCUUGCUUGCUGCAGGAACGAAGACUAGUCUCAAGAAUUCACUUAAA
rnacentral:lncRNA from 1 species